UACGUAGGGGGCAAGCGUUGUCCGGAUUUAUUGGGCGUAAAGAGCGUGUAGGCGGCCAGGUAGGUCCGUUGUGAAAACUCGAGGCUCAACCUCGAGACGUCGAUGGAAACCAUCUGGCUAGAGUCCGGAAGAGGAGAGUGGAAUUCCUGGUGUAGCGGUGAAAUGCGCAGAUAUCAGGAAGAACACCCGUGGCGAAGGCGGCUCUCUGGGACGGUACUGACGCUGAGGCGCGAAAGCGUGGGGAGCGAACAGG
rnacentral:rRNA from 1 species